GUUAACGAGGCGUCUAGAAAUCAGAACAGACACACACACACACACACACACACACACCAAAAUUAGUUUUAUUUUAGUUUGCAUAACUCCAGAUCAAUGCAGUAGUGUGUGCGACUUAAAUACAGCACGUAUCCAAAUACAGACCGCUCCAUGGAUGAACUUAAGAACAGGACGGUGCAAUUACCAAAAGAGGAAUUCGCCGUGGAGGGGGAGGACACAAGAGCAUACAAACGAAGAUGGUACAUAUUGUUCAUCUACAGCCUUCUGUCCAUCUGCCAAGCCGUUAUAUUCAAUACCUGGAGUCCGAUAUCUGUGAGCGCCAAAUACACAUUUGGGUGGACAGAUAGCAACUUUAUACUCCUGUCCAGCUGGGGAUCGUCCAUGUACCUCGUGACGAUAUGCCUCACAACCUGGAUCAUGGACGUGAAAGGUAUGAGAUGGGCGUGCGUCGGAGCCAGUUUUCUUGUCGCCGCGGGGGCUGCAUGCCGUUGCAUUACAAUGGAACCAAGAAUGGCAACAUGGUAACGCGCUGUGCAGAGACGUCGAAUGAUCACCUGAUUCACCCAACAGCACAGAUUUAAUACGUAACACUUUUAAAUUACAAAAUGUGGUGUUAUAGACUGUGACCAUCACGUACUGAACCUUCUUGCGUUUCUUGUUGUUUUCACACUCAUGAGAGUACAUGUCGCUUUAUUUGCAUAUGCAGUAACAUUAACUGGUGUGAACCGUUGA